rnacentral:lncRNA from 1 species
CCGCAUUCAAUAGUUCCUGAAACAGAGGUCGAGUUGCAGAAACAAUAGCCGCGUUGCGAAAACAACGAUCGUGUUGCAAAAAAAAAUUCUGAAAUAACGGUCACAUUGCAGAAAAUAAUUUACACAACUCCUGAAACAAUGGCUGAGUUGAAACAACAACCCCGUUGCAGAAAUGUUGCAGGCUCAGUUGCGGAGCAGCCUCGAUGGCGGAGGGCGACGGACAGGUUGGCGGCGGAGGUCCGCGGGGCCACGAGCAGGGGCGGCGGCGGAGGGCGCGCGGGGUCGCGGGCGAGUAGGGGCGACGGGCCGCGAGCAGGGCGGCAGGCAGGACGGCGCGCGGAGGGGUGGCGGGGCCACAACAGGCCGGCAGCGGUGGGUGGCUGGGCCACAUCAGGCCAACGACGGAGGGGCGGCGAGGCCGCAGCAGGCCGGCAGCGCGAGGUCGUCGGAGCCGAGGCUGAGGCGGAGGCACGGACUGAGCAGUUUUCUGAAACAACUGCCCAGUUUCAGAAUCGCGGGCACGGUCGGUUAGAUGGAGUAAGAUCCAACGAACGAGGAAGCGGUGGACAGUUUGUUCGGAUCCAUCGAUGAAAGUUAAAGAGUUUUUCAAAAACUCUACCCCCUACAUCUAGGAACCGAGGGAGUAAUAAAUAUAUCGAGUAGAAUGGCUAGCUAGAUGACCUAUAGUACAUCAUCAAUUGUUGGAUAAGAAAUUGAUCAAUAAUUCGAUGAGGUUAUGACUUACAGAGUCAAGACUUAGGACGGGCCUUCCGAUCCUCACUCGUAUCCUCAUGGCGUGACUAAAGAUAUUAGUCGUACACAUGCUCAAUGGAGAAACAAUCCUAAAUCUGGAAAUCAAGACCAUAUUACAGUGUAGCCUUAGUGCAGCACUAUUUCAUUAUUCAUGCAUUGGUAGGAACAGGAGUAGUAUAGUAUAGAAAGUUACCUACGAUUGGUGUGGUGCGGCAAACGAGGCGGAGAUCGGCUAACAAGUUUUGCACAGCGUUGCCCUGAUCAAGUCCCGCUCGCGCAAGAGAGUCAUGAUGACGGACGACGCCAGCAGCCAGCUUUCCAGGCGAGAUCGUUUCUUCUUUCUCGUCAGCGUCGGCCUCAUCGUCGCCGUCGUCGAAGUCUGUGGCCGGGCUCCCUAGAGCCUACCGUCUCCGUCGCUCCGUUCACCUCCGGGCAUGAAGUUCUAUUGUUGACGCCGAUCGGGAGUCGAGUCGACGCUGAGGUUGAUUGGUUUUCAAGGCGUCGCCAAGUGAAUAGGGUGAAUUCUGGAUUAGGGCAGGGCGACGUUUUGCCUCUCUAUGGCUCGACGCACAACGGGGCGUGGGGCGGCUCUACGGACCGCGUGGUUAGCAUUAUCCGCGUAUAUGCUUGGCAAAAGUAUCUCCAUAUAUCGGACAUCGGUGAGGCGAUUGCGUUUUCCACGGGUAUAUAAGCAACAGAUCGCGUUUUCCACGGGUAUAUAAGCAACAGAUCAUCACAAGGCAUAUGCAUCUCUGCACGC